rnacentral:lncRNA from 1 species
AUGAUGGUGCUUUGUAAAGGGAGAAUACUCCGGGGGAGCAAGGACUCGGCGUGCCGGCUCUGCCGCGAGAGCGGGCAACGGAGGCUGCCGGCAGAGACCGGCGGAGGGAGCGGGAAUCGCCGCGGCGGCGUGCGGAUGGAUGCGCUAUGUCCACCCGCGCGGAGUUGGGAGGGUUUUGCAUGGCAGAGAGGGUCCCUGCCGGCCCYGCGCCGGCUGCGCGCGGGUGGGCGAUGCUGGGGUGCCCUGCGAGGUGGUGGAGGUGGUGGCCCCACCGCCCCUGCGCUCACGAGGUGCAGGAAGGGGACUAGAGUGUUUUAUUUAUUGCAUUACUCCAUGCAGAGACAUAAACUGCCCUUCUCAAGCGCUCCUCUUCUUGCUCCUGCAGCGACGCUUCCUGCGGCGUCGCGGCUCCUCGCAGCCAGCCCGGACGAUUGCUUCCGCGCUCCGUGGGUCUCCUUCAAAAGUCGUAUUGCUCUGCCCAGGGCCUUUUGCACCAGCCUCGGCGUUUUGCAGCUCCCCGGCUCCGUGCGUCGCGUGGCAGCCGCGAGCUCUCGUGAGCUCUGCCGCGGCCUCGGCGGCAAGCGGGGAAAACGGGCGCGGUGGCAGCGCCGACGGGCUUUCGGCAGCGCGGCUCGCCUCCUCUCGGCCCGGGCAGCGCCCGGAGCGCAGCGCGGUCUGCGCAGGGAUUCGGUUACCCGCCGCGCAGCCUGCCAGCGCCACCUUGUCAUUGCAAUUUGUCACACGUAUUUGCGAUGCGUUCAGCAUCUCGCUGCGGGCUCGCUCGCCAGGCGAUGCGUCGCCUCGCUGCUCGUCCGGGGCGGAGAGCGGCUCUGCGUUUGCCGGGACGAAGCCGGGUUUCGGCCGCGCCGUGUCACCCCGGCGGGGUCCGGCAAUACGCCUCCAACCGGGGUAUUGCAGCCCGCCCUGGCCAACCCGCUUUGCUCUGGGCCCAGGAGCCGCGGUCCGGCCUCCGCGCCAGCUCCGGGCUCCAUGGGUGCCAAGGUGGCCCUGGAAAGGGCCGGAGCGCUUCACCGCUCCGUUUCCUCCCGCUGCAAAAAGCCGAAGCACGGCUGCAGGCACUGGUACGGGGACGUGCUGCUGGCUGCGUUUCUCCUACCCCUCCUGCUGUUUUCCUUUCAGCAGCCAAAAACGGGUUUCUGA